rnacentral:rRNA from 1 species
GACGAACACUGGCGGCGUGCCUAACACAUGCAAGUCAGGGAGAAAUUCGCCGCAAGGCGGAAAGUACACCGGCGGACGGGUGAGUAACACGUAGGCAACUUACCUUGUGGACGGGAAUAACCCCGGGAAACCGGGACUAAUACCCGAUGGAGUCUCGCAGAAGCAUUUCUGCGGGAUGAAAGGUUCCGAUGCAAGUCGGAAUGUCACAAGAUAGGCCUGCGUCCCAUUAGAUAGUUGGCGGGGUAACGGCCCACCAAGUCGACGAUGGGUAGCUGGUCUGAGAGGACGAUCAGCCACACUGGAACUGAGACACGGUCCAGACUUCUACGGAAGGCAGCAGUGAGGAAUAUUGCUCAAUGGGCGAAAGCCUGAAGCAGCGACGCCGCGUGAGGG